CUUCAGGGAGCCCAGCCACAGCGGCUUGUCGUCGUCGCGGCCCUGCCCGUAGGUCGCGAGCAGUGCCUGGGCCUC
rnacentral:antisense_RNA from 1 species